GCCCGGGUGGCGAAAUUGGUAGACGCAGGGGAUUCAAAAUCCCCCGGUGGAAACACUGUGUCGGUUCGAGUCCGACCCCGGGUACCA
rnacentral:tRNA from 3 species